UCCCAUGAAAACACUAGACCACUAGCAUUAAUUCUCCACAAUGAGUCUGGAUCUGAGUAUCCCGCCCCUGACGGUUUUCCUGAACACAAACAAAGGUUCCGAUUGGUCCCAGAAACCAAUGGGUUGGGCCAGAACCAAAGCACACGUGAGUAAAGAGGCAUUUAAAAAAAAAAUGUGUCAUUGGCUUUGAUGCUCUGAUUGGUUCGAGAUGAUCCAAUCGCUGAGGACUUUUAUACAACAUCCCUCAUUAUGACAUCACCACAAACAACUUCAACGUGUGCAGUGAACAGAGAGCGGUGAACAGAGCGCGGUGAACAGAGAGCAGUGAACAGAGAGCAGUGAACAGAGAGCAGUGAACAGAGAGCAGUGAACAGAGAGCAGUGAACAGAGAGCAGUGAACAGAGAGCAGUGAACAGAGCACAGUGAACAGAGAGCAGUGAACAGAGAGCAGUGAACAGAGAGCAGUGAACAGAGAGCAGUGAACAGAGCAGUGAACAGAGCAGUGAACAGAGCAGUGAACAGAGCAGUGAACAGAGCAGUGAACAGAGCAGUGAACAGAGCAGUGAACAGAGCAGUGAACAGAGCAGUGAACAGAGCAGUGAACAGAGCGGUGAACAGAGCAGUGAACAGAGCAGUGAACAGAGCAGUGAACAGAGCGGUGAACAGAGCAGUGAACAGAGCGCAGUGAACAGAGCAGUGAACAGAGCAGUGAACAGAGCGGUGAACAGAGCGGUGAACAGAGCAGUGAACAGAGCAGUGAACAGAGCAGUGAACAGAGCGGUGAACAGAGCGGUGAACAGAGCGGUGAACAGAGCGGUGAACAGAGCGGUGAACAGAGCGGUGAACAGAGCAGUGAACAGAGCAGUGAACAGAGCAGUGAACAGAGCAGUGAACAGAGCAGUGAACAGAGCGCAGUGAACAGAGCAGUGGGAAGAAUUCAGUUUGAGUCAUCAGGCAAAAAAAGCCAUCACUGAAACCAUCUGUCGCCUGCUUCGGCUGCAGGGGCAACAUUAAAAAGAAAACGCUCAGAAAGAAAUUGCAAAGAACAGAUUCUAU